rnacentral:misc_RNA from 1 species
GGAAGGAUCAUUACAGAGUUCAUGCCCUCACGGGUAGAUCUCCCACCCUUGAAUACUAUACCUUUGUUGCUUUGGCGGGCCGCCUCGGCUACCGGCUUCGGCUGGUGAGUGCCCGCCAGAGGACCCCAAACUCUGAAUUACAGUGUCGUCUGAGUACUAUAUAAUAGUUAAAACUUUCAACAACGGAUCUCUUGGUUCUGGCAUCGAUGAAGAACGCAGCGAAAUGCGAUAAGUAAUGUGAAUUGCAGAAUUCAGUGAAUCAUCGAAUCUUUGAACGCACAUUGCGCCCCCUGGUAUUCCGGGGGGCAUGCCUGUUCGAGCGUCAUUAUAACCCUCAAGCCCAGCUUGGUGUUGGGGCCUGUCGUCAGACAGCCCUUAAAAUCAGUGGCGGUGCCUGCAGGCUCUACGCGUAGUAAUUCUUCUCGCGAUGGAGCCCUGUAGGAUGCUUGCCAUCAACCCCCAAUUUUCUAUGGUUGACCUCGGAUCAGGUAGGGAUACCCGCUGAACUUAAGCAUAUCAAUAAGCGGAGGAAAAGAAACCAACAGGGAUUACCUCAGUAACGGCGAGUGAAGCGGUAACAGCUCAAAUUUGAAAUCUGGCUCUUUUAGGGUCCGAGUUGUAAUUUGUAGAAGAUGCUUCGGGUGUGGCUCCAGUCUAAGUUCCUUGGAACAGGACGUCAUAGAGGGUGAGAAUCCCGUAUGUGAUUGGUGGCCUUCGCCCAUGUGAAGCUCUUUCGACGAGUCGAGUUGUUUGGGAAUGCAGCUCAAAAUGGGUGGUAAAUUUCAUCUAAAGCUAAAUAUUGGCCAGAGACCGAUAGCGCACAAGUAGAGUGAUCGAAAGAUGAAAAGCACUUUGGAAAGAGAGUUAAACAGUACGUGAAAUUGUUGAAAGGGAAGCGCUUGCAACCAGACUUGCGCGUGGGUGAUCAUCCGGGGUUCUCCCCGGUGCACUCGCUCACGCUCAGGCCAGCAUCGGUUUUGGUGGUUGGAUAAAGGCCCUAGGAAUGUAGCUUCUCUCGGGGAGUGUUAUAGCCUAGGGUGCAAUGCAUCCUACCGGGACCGAGGACCGCGCUUCGGCUAGGAUGCUGGCGUAAUGGUUGUAAGCGACCCGUCUUGAAACACGGACCAAGGAGUCUAACAUCUAUGCGAGUGUUUGGGUGUCAAACCCAUACGCGUAAUGAAAGUGAACGGAGGUGAGAACCCUUAAGGGUGCAUCAUCGACCGAUCCUGAUGUCUUCGGAUGGAUUUGAGUAAGAGCAUAGCUGUUGGGACCCGAAAGAUGGUGAACUAUGCGUGAAUAGGGUGAAGCCAGAGGAAACUCUGGUGGAGGCUCGCAGCGGUUCUGACGUGCAAAUCGAUCGUCAAAUUUGCGCAUAGGGGCGAAAGACUAAUCGAACCAUCUAGUAGCUGGUUCCUGC